GAUGAACGCUGGCGGCGUGCCUAAUACAUGCAAGUCGAGCGAACGGACGAGAAGCUUGCUUUUCUGAUGUUAGCGGCGGGCGGGUGAGUAACACGUGGAUAACCUACCUAUAAGACUGGGAUAACUUCGGGAAACCGGAGCUAAUACCGGAUAAUAUUUUGAACCGCAUGGUGCAAAAGUGAAAGACGGUCUUGCUGUCACUUAUAGAUGGAUCCGCGCUGCAUUAGCUAGUUGGUAAGGUAACGGCUUACCAAGGCAACGAUGCAUAGCCGACCUGGGAGGGUGAUAGGCCGCCCUGGAACUGAGACACGGUCAAGACUCCUACGGGACGCAGCAGUAGGCAAUCUUCCGCAAUGGGCGGAAGCCUGACGGAGCAACGCCGCGUGAGUGAUGAAGGUCUUCGGAUCGUAAAACUCUGUUAUUAGGUAAGAACAUAUGUGUCAGUAACUGUGCACAUCUUGACGGUACCUAAUCAGAAAGCCCCGGCUAACUACGUG
rnacentral:rRNA from 1 species